AUAGCAUUCAGAAGUGAGAAUGUUGACAUGAGUAGCGAUAAAGAGUGUGAGAGACACUCUCGCCGAAAGUCCAAGGGUUCCUGCUUAAAGCUAAUCUGAGCAGGGUGAGCCGACCCCUAAGGCGAGACCGAAAGGCGUAGUCGAUGGGAACCAGGUUAAUAUUCCUGGGCCAGGAGGAAGUGACGGAUCGCAAAGCUUGUUCGCCCUUAUCGGAUUGGGCGGGCCUGUCAGCGGUUCCUGGAAAUAGCCCUCCAUGAGAUCGUACCCUAAACCGACACAGGUGGACUGGUAGAGCAUACCAAGGCGCUUGAGAGAACUGCGUUGAAGGAACUCGGCAAAAUGCCUCCGUAACUUCGGGAGAAGGAGGCCCCGUCCGUGGGCAACCAUGGGCGGGGGGCACAAACUAGGGGGUGGCGACUGUUUACUAAAAACACAGGACUCUGCGAAGCCCAAAGGCGACGUAUAGGGUCUGACGCCUGCCCGGUGCUGGAAGGUUAAAGGGAGGGGUGCAAGCUCCGAACUGAAGCCCCAGUAAACGGCGGCCGUAACAAUAACGGUCCUAAGGUAGCGAAAUUCCUUGUCGGGUAAGUUCCGACCUGCACGAAUGGCGUAACGACUUCCCCGCUGUCUCCAACGCAGACUCAGCGAAAUUGAACUCCCCGUGAAGAUGCGGGGUUCCCGCGGUCAGACGGAAAGACCCCGUGCACCUUUACUACAGCUUCACACUGGCAUCAGGCCAGGCAUGUGCAGGAUAGGUGGCAGGCUUUGAAGCGGGGACGCCAGUUCCCGUGGAGCCGUCCUUGAGAUAUCACCCUUGCCUUGCCUGAUGUCUAACCGCGGACCGUCAUCCGGUUCCGGGACCCUGUGUGGCGGGUAGUUUGACUGGGGCGGUCGCCUCCCAAAUAGUAACGGAGGCGCGCGAUGGUGGGCUCAGGUUGGUCGGAAAUCAACCGUCGAGUGCAAUGGCAUAAGCCCGCCUGACUGCGAGACUGACAAGUCGAGCAGAGACGAAAGUCGGCCAUAGUGAUCCGGUGGUCCCGCGUGGAAGGGCCAUCGCUCAACGGAUAAAAGGUACGCCGGGGAUAACAGGCUGAUACUGCCCAAGAGUCCAUAUCGACGGCAGUGUUUGGCACCUCGAUGUCGGCUCAUCACAUCCUGGGGCUGGAGAAGGUCCCAAGGGUACGGCUGUUCGCCGUUUAAGGUGGUACGUGAGCUGGGUUUAGAACGUCGUGAGACAGUUCGGUCCCUAUCUGCCGUGGGUGUCGGAGACUUGAGAGGAGUUGCCCCUAGUACGAGAGGACCGGGGUGAACGUUCCACUGGUGGACCUGUUGUCGUGCCAACGGCAGUGCAGGGUAGCUAUGAACGGACAGGAUAACCGCUGAAGGCAUCUAAGCGGGAAGCCCCCCUCAAAACCAGGUCUCCCUUGAGGGCCGUGGAAGACCACCACGUCGAUAGGCCGGAGGUGUAAGCGCAGCAAUGCGUUCAGCUGACCGGUACUAAUCGCCUG
rnacentral:rRNA from 1 species